GUCUCUCUCUCUCUCUCUCUCUCUCUCACACACACACACACACACAGAGAGAGAGAGAGAGAGAGAGAGAGAG